GAUGAACGCUGGCGGCGUGCUUAACACAUGCAGGUCGAACGAAGCACUUUACAACGAUCCCUUCGGGGUGACAAUUUAGUGACUGAGUGGCGGACGGGUGAGUAACGCGUGGGUAACCUGCCUUAUACUGGGGGAUAACAGUUGGAAACGACUGCUAAUACCGCAUAAGCGCACGAGGUCGCAUGACCUUGUGUGAAAAACUCCGGUGGUAUAAGAUGGACCCGCGUCUGAUUAGCUAGUUGGUGAGGUAAUGGCUCACCAAGGCGACGAUCAGUAGCCGACCUGAGAGGGUGACCGGCCACAUUGGGACUGAGACACGGCCCAAACUCCUACGGGAGGCAGCAGUGGGGAAUAUUGCACAAUGGCGAAAGCCUGAUGCAGCGACGCCGCGUGAGCGAAGAAGUAUUUCGGUAUGUAAAGCUCUAUCAGCAGGGAAGAAAAAAAUGACGGUACCUGACUAAGAAGCUCGGCUAAAUACGUAGCCAGCAGACCG
rnacentral:rRNA from 1 species